AUUUUCCUUCUAUCUCUGUGCCGAAACCGGCUUUCGAUAACUGUUCACGAAAAAAGCGAUUGAAAGUUUAGUAGAUCGGGGGAAGAUCUGGGUUUAAUCGAUUUACAUGUGGGAUUGGUUUUCGUAGAUUGGGGAGGUUUAGAUGUAGGGUUCAACCGAUGUGUGUACUAGUGUACAGACGAGACUUACUUGAUUUGCAGAGGACCGAAGCGCCGACGACGGACCGGAUUUGACGGCGAUGCGGAGGCGACCAGGGAAAGAGCAUUGCUUUUCAGCCAUCUCCAAAUUCGGAGCAAGGUGGGCAAACGAGCUCUAAUAUUUGAUCAAAGGAACAAAAUAGAAGUCAACAAAAAAAUUUAGAUUAGCGUUUUGCAUAUGUACACUUUUGUAGAUGUCCACAUGUACGCUUGUUUGUAGAUAUCCACAUGUACGCUUGUUUGUAGUUAUCCACAUGUACACUUGAACA